rnacentral:lncRNA from 1 species
CUCCACAGGCCUUACUUUUUAGCAAGAAAAAAAAAUGCUUCAAGUCAUGAAAGCAAAGGGACAGGGGGUUAGUGACAUUGACUUCAACCAGGACAAUCAUGGAAGAUUUUAGCAUGAUGUGGACACCAGAAGGUGCUCUACCGGGGGACGGGCCUUCCAAAGGCAGGUAGCAACGCUAACAGUGUGACAGUCUGCAGAGCCUCUAGAAAGGCCGACAAGAUCUAUGUGCUGGAGACCCACAAAAAUCUCCAACGCCUCCUUUCCACACAGCCCUCUACAAUUGUAGAACAAUGUUUUAUUGUUUGUAAGACUAAGUCUAAGGACUGCAUUUUGAUGAGUUUACAAUUCAACCUCAUGGAUCCCAAAUUGUUGGAGAAGCUGCUGUAUAUGUAUGAGCUCAUACAAUGUUUGUCCCAUAGUAGGGUUUCCCAGGAUUUUAAAUGAGUCUGAUAUUUUAAAAUCCUUCUAUCACUUUUAUCCUUGGAUGGCCACCAUAGUUGGUGGUAGGCAGUUUUGUUGUAUUAACUAUGGCCAAGACGCUGAACCCAAAUACUUUUUGUAUAAUUCUUUGAUGUGUUGUCAGACUGCUGUGUGCAUUUUUUAAAUGAAACUAGUCUGACGAUCUAUAGAAGUCUGGUUAUUCAGGCAGUAAUUACCUUAUGAAUUCAUGAAAAUGACCCCAGGCCAUGCAAAUGACCAGCUUUGGGCUGCCCCCUCACCUUUGGCAAAAUUCUCCUGCUAUGGAUGAAAAAGACUUUAUUCUUAGGGUUUAACAAGAAGUAAUUUCUAAUGAGUUGUCUAAAAUUGGAAACGUGUUUUUAUUUUUAGAAUGGGGUCACUUUAGGAGAACUUUGUAUAUCCUACAUGGGGAAUUCAGAUGAAUUGAAACAUUUUUGAAAAUCUAGUCCUAUGCACUUUUUAAAGAGCCAAGCUGCAUUUUUGAAUUUCUCUAAUAUAAUGCAGACCUCCACCAUUUAGAACAAUCACAGUUGGCCUCAUUCACUGCUCAGAGCAGGGAUAAGCCUCCGAUACAGCUUCUCAGGUCAUGGGGGAACUUCUCUUCAUUCAGGUGGAAGAGUCCCAGUUACAUCUGCAGCAGUGCCUAAUGUU